AGCUGUUCCGUGAGAGAUAAUAUUUACCAGUAUUUAAACAAAAAAAAGUCCCUGAGAACAAGCAAAAGAUAGCAUCGGGAGCAGGGAGGGCAGACUGAAGAGAAUUUUCUAGAGAUCCUCCAGGUAAACAAUGACGAGGACCUGAACUCUUGACUUGACAGUGGGCUUGGAGACAACAGAAGAGUUGGGACAGCAGGUGGCGGAACCCUGACGUGGCCAUAUAAACAUAUAGCAGGAGAACAUGCUAGAGCAUGAGAGACAACAUGGGGGAUACUGAUAGCCCUCUGAGGCCAUCCUCGACCAGCCCACAGCAAGCCGGCUCCUCCCCAGGUUCAACUUCUAACCAAGCUGCUCCAGCUGUGGACCGUGCCUCCAGCCCUCCACUUGCCAGAUGAGUAGAUGGCAGUCCACGUUCUCCAGUUCAGCAAGACGCGGGGAUAAAAGCCAAAUGUUUAACUGAAGACCUAAGCUUGUACGUGAACCCAGAAUGGAUGAAUACACUCAAAGAAGACAGGAAAUGCUAGUUUUUGAGCAUGACUCUAUGCCUGACAUCAUGCCUUGUGCUCUGGCCAUGCUGCAAGGCAGGCUGUUUGCAUUUCUCAGAUGAAGAAUUUGAAACCCAGAAAUUUUGUCUGAGUUGCCCAUUAUUAUCUCAGACCCACCAAAUGGGACAAAUGGAACCCAAACACAGAUGUCGGCUUCCCAAACCAUCAUUGUUGUCUGCAGUCUCUGGGCUCUCUCACCUCACUGGGCCCUGAGGCCCUAGCCUGGAUUUGAUUUCAACAUUGAUACUUUCACAGGCCAACACUCUCUCUCUCUCCCACACACACACACAAGUGUGUGUGUGUGCGUGUGGAAAUAUACGAAACAUUAAAUAUUAGCAAACUGCCCUUGGAUAUGAUUUUUAACAUCUCUGCCAUAAAGUUUCAUCACUUACACAACAGUGGUAAUUAUGUCGACUUUGGAACAUUUUGUUGCUCAGAAUAAAUUAAAUGUCACGUGCUUAGCACACAUCUGGAAAACAGCAAGACUCAUAAAUGUUUAGUUCUUUCCUUCCUUCCUGAAAUCUGCAGAAGAGGGGCUGCAUUUUUCUUCACAGAGUCACCUAGUGCUGAGACCUGCAUGUCACAGAAAGACUGUACUGAAUCAUUGCAGAAUGGACUUGAAUUAACUGCACUUCAAGCUAAUUCUGUCCUGGGUUUAUUAGUUCGAUUUCUUCAGUAAUUCUGCCACUAACACAACUAUUGUAACAAUGACAGCAUGCACUGUUUUUAUAGUAUUUGAUAAUCACGGUAACACUAGCAGGUGAAAAAAGUUAUUAUUUUUUUCCUAUUUCUUAGAUGAUCCAGACUCUAGGAGGCUAAGUCAAUUGUCUCAAGUCACGCGGCAUCAGGUCAGGACCAAUAUCAAUGUCCUCGAAUCCCACGUUUGCCUUCCCUGCUGGCAUGCGACAUAGGACAGCACACACCUCAAGCCAAAAGGCACAUGUGGCCAUUUAAAAAGAAAAUAAGUGAGCAAGAUCUUAAGAUCUUAAGAUCUUGAGAAAACUAUAAAGCAAGGGUCUUGAUAUAGGGCAGAUGUUACCACCACACAUGGGAUACUAUGAUAUCUUGAAAGCCAUGGAAGGUGCAUAGGUCUCAAACAGGGAUUGACCACUGGCUGGGGAGAGAUAUCUUCAGGGCCUCUACCUUCUUCUGAGGUCAGGGAGAAGAGUUCAUCAUCAGUAGGAAGAGCCAUUGUUAUUUCUGUUCAGAAUGAAACAAAAAUGGUAUCUGUCAAGGCCAUUAUUCUUUUGGAUAUCAUUUAAGUGAACAAUAUAAGGAUGGGUUUGUGACAUUUCACUGAGAGUAAGAAAUCCCAAGUCACAGAACAGAGAGUUUGAGAGCUAUGCUGGGGGCUCAGAAGUCAGGCAUAGAAAGGGAAAUAAGACAUGGGAUUAGAAAUGAAAAGGAAAUCCCAACUUCCAGUUUAAGUUGUUCCCCUUCACCCUCAGAGCUUAGUUUCUGCAACUGUAAAUGGGUCUUGUAAAGACGA